rnacentral:rRNA from 1 species
CCUACGGGUGGCUGCAGUGGGGAAUAUUGCACAAUGGGCGCAAGCCUGAUGCAGCCAUGCCGCGUGUGUGAAGAAGGCCUUCGGGUUGUAAAGCACUUUCAGCGGGGAGGAAGGCGUUAAGGUUAAUAACCUUGGCGAUUGACGUUACCCGCAGAAGAAGCACCGGCUAACUCCGUGCCAGCAGCCGCGGUAAUACGGAGGGUGCAAGCGUUAAUUGGAAUUACUGGGCGUAAAGCGCACGCAGGCGGUCUGUCAGGUCGGAUGUGAAAUCCCCGGGCUCAACCUGGGAACUGCAUUCGAAACUGGCAGGCUAGAGUCUUGUAGAGGGGGGUAGAAUUCCAGGUGUAGCGGUGAAAUGCGUAGAGAUCUGGAGGAAUACCGGUGGCGAAGGCGGCCCCCUGGACAAAGACUGACGCUCAGGUGCGAAAGCGUGGGGAGCAGACAGGAUUAAUACCCUGGUAGUC